rnacentral:lncRNA from 1 species
CAGAGAACAUUUCAAUGAACUCUCUGGAGAAGUUAAAAGUUUCCAAAAGAGCUCGCAAAGAGUGUGUGUCUGUGGGAGCAGGCAGCUUUCCUACUGUCUCUCCCCUUUGCUGAUCUGGAGUCCUGCCAUCCUCUCCAAGACAUACACCCAGGAAGAGGUUCUUGGAUUCCUUCUACACUGACUCUUCUAUCCUGCCAGUGAGUGGGCGUGGCAGACGGCAUGAAACGUGCAUCAUGGAGACCAACUGAUGACUACAGGAAUGGUGCUUCGAGCAACAGGAAAAGGAAAGGCUAUUUUGGGCAACUAUCAAGCUGUAACUAAUAAAUGUUGAACGGUAUGUGCUAUAAAAAGUGACUAAAACUAUAUUCUUAGCCAUUGUCAUGAACGUUUCUGUUUUUGUUUUGUUCUUGACCACAAGAUGUC